AACGACAAAGAGCUGCUGAGAUCAGCUGAUGACCCUCCCUCUGUACCAAGAGCAGGGCUGCCUCGGUUGCCUGAAGGAUUGACGCUGAGCCGUGCAGAAUCUACACAUGACUCUGGAAAGAAACAUCAAACAACACUUUCAGGGGGCCUGAUUUACAGAAAGGUACUGCAACUUCUUUAUGACUCCGACCAGGAUACGAGCAUUUUCUAUAUCAAACACUGUCGGGGAGGCGGGACCAGAAAACACUGCGACCGGAUAUACCCAUUACGAUGGCGACAACAAAAAUGUAUUGCAGCAAAAUGUGGUAGAAAAAAAAAAAGUGGCGUCGUGGUGCUCAGAAGAUGACGUUUUGGGCUGUCCAUUCAAGGACAGCUUGAGGUACAGUAUAUUGCCAUAAGUAUUCGUUCACCUGCCUUGACUCACUUACUGUAGGAUUUUAAGUGAUAUCCCAUUCUAAAUCCAUCCAUCCAUCCAUCUUCUGUACGGCUUAUCCUCACUAGGGCGUGCUGGAGCCUAUCCCAGCUAUCUUCGGGUGAGAGGCGGGGUACACCCUGAACUGGUCCCCAGCCAAUCGCAGGGCACAUAGAAACAAACAACCAUUCACACUCACAUUCACACCUAAGGGCAAUUUAGAGUCUUCAAUCAACCUACCAUGCAUGUUUUUGGGAUACGGGAGGAAACUGGAGUACCCGGAGAAAACCCACGCAGGCACGGGUAGAACAUGCAAACUCCACACAGGCGGGGACAGGAUUUGGACCCCGGUCCUCAGAACUGUGAGGCUGAUGAGCUAACCAGUCGGCCCGUGCUGCACAUUCUAAAUCACCUGGUUUAAUAUGAUG